GGAGAGUUUGAUCCUGGCUCAGGAUUAACGCUGGCGGCGUGCCUGACACAUGCAAGUCGAACGGGUGCUAGCUGCCCGCAAGGGUGGCUAGCGCUAGUGGCGGACGGGUGAGUAACACGUGGGCAACCUGCCUGAGAGUGCAGAAUAACCCUGCGAAAGCAGAGCUAAUACUGCAUGUGGUUGUCGGAUGGCAUCAUCUGACAACUAAAGUCGCAAGACGCUCUCAGAUGGACCCGCGGCCUAUUAGCUAGUUGGUGAGGUAACGGCCCACCAAGGCUGUGAUGGGUAGCUGGUCUGAGAGGACGGACAGCCACACUGGGACUGAGACACGGCCCAGACUCCUACGGGAGGCAGCAGUGAGGAAUUUUCCGCAAUGGGCGAAAGCCUGACGGAGCAACGCCGCGUGAGGGAUGAAGUCUCUAGGGAUGUAAACCUCUGUUGGGAGGGACGAAGAUCUG
rnacentral:rRNA from 1 species